GAAAAACAUGCUGUCGCUAUUUAAUAUAGGUUCCCGUCCCUACUGAACCAAAAAAGGGGGGAAAAAAAUCCCGCCUCUUGAACGCCCUUCUUUUUGUCUCCAUUUUUAUUUAAAAAAACAACUAAAUUCAUGUGGUCAGUUCUAUCUCGAUCUCUCCAAAUUUGCUGAGAUUGCACAAGAGAUCGACUUUAGGGGAGCAUAUUAGGGCACUCUAUCACUUCUUCUUCUUUCUUCAAAAAUCCCGUUCCAAGGGUUAGGGUUUUCGCUUCUUCUUUCAAGGUUGGCGUUUAUCUUCUACUGUUUUCAAUCUCUAGGGUUACUUCAUUUAUUUAGAUUUUUUAGUCUUGGUUUUGGCACUUGUGUUCAUUCCGUGGUUCUGGAUAUGUGGUUUCUGGAUUCUGGAUGUGGUACCAGUAGUAAAUCGAUGAUGGAUGUAAGACAGAGAGGGAGGCUUGAAGCUGGCUUCAACGCUGAAGGAUUCAAGAAAUC
rnacentral:misc_RNA from 1 species